rnacentral:rRNA from 1 species
CCUACGGGCGGCUGCAGUGGGGAAUAUUGGACAAUGGGCGAAAGCCUGAUCCAGCCAUGCCGCGUGUGUGAAGAAGGCCUUCGGGUUGUAAAGCACUUUCAGUGGGGAAGAAAGCCUUGGGGCUAAUACCCUCGAGGAAGGACAUCACCCACAGAAGAAGCACCGGCUAACUCCGUGCCAGCAGCCGCGGUAAUACGGAGGGUGCGAGCGUUAAUCGGAAUUACUGGGCGUAAAGCGCGCGUAGGCGGUCUGAUAAGCCGGUUGUGAAAGCCCCGGGCUCAACCUGGGAACGGCAUCCGGAACUGUCAGGCUAGAGUGCAGGAGAGGAAGGUAGAAUUCCCGGUGUAGCGGUGAAAUGCGUAGAGAUCGGGAGGAAUACCAGUGGCGAAGGCGGCCUUCUGGACUGACACUGACGCUGAGGUGCGAAAGCGUGGGCAGCAAACAGGAUUAGAUACCCCAGUAGUC